rnacentral:pre_miRNA from 1 species
UUUGAGGGGAAUGUUGUCUGGCUCGAGGACUCUCUUUUGAUCCAUCUUUGUUGAUGAUUUUUCUUUAAUUAUAUCCAUAGAUCUAAUAGGUGUAUGGAUUUAGAAUUAGAUUGAUCAUGUGAUAGUGUCGUCGGACCAGGCUUCAUUCCCCCCAAU